rnacentral:misc_RNA from 1 species
UAGCAGGCUAGCUCCCACAGGGAUCUCCAGGGGAUUCGCAAUUUGAAACGAGCGCAGUUCCCUCUGUGGGAGCUAGCCUUCUA